AUUAAGAAGGGGGAGAGGAGCCGGUCUCACCCUACGCUCCAUUGCAAGUUUGAAGCGGGAAAGAACACCCCGAAAGAGAGAGAGAGAGAACAGAGAGAGAGAGAGAGGGAGAGAGAGAAAUGGCGCCAGUAAUACAGAGCUCUCAGCAAUGGGUCGAGAAAUAUCGACCGAAGCAAGUGAAGGACGUAGCUCACCAGGACGAGGUCGUUCGCGUCCUCACUAACACUCUCGAGACCGGCAGCUGCCCACAUAUGCUGUUCUACGGGCCGCCCGGUACAGGCAAAACCACAACAGCCCUUGCCAUAGCCCACCAGCUUUUUGGACCUGAACUCUACAAGUCUAGAGUGCUGGAACUUAAUGCAAGUGAUGAUCGUGGAAUCAAUGUAGUUCGCACAAAAAUAAAGAACUUUGCUGCUGUCGCUGUGGGUUCUGGACGUCAAGGGGGGUACCCCUGCCCACCUUUUAAGAUUAUAAUCCUAGACGAGGCAGAUUCCAUGACUGAAGAUGCUCAGAAUGCUUUGCGGCGUACCAUGGAAACUUACUCCAGAGUCACAAGAUUCUUUUUCAUUUGUAAUUACAUCAGCAGGAUCAUAGAGCCCCUCGCUUCUAGAUGUGCAAAGUUUAGGUUCAAACCACUUUCAGAAGAUAUCAUGACUGGUCGUGUAUUGCAUAUUUGUAAAGAGGAAGGCCUCGAUCUGGAUUCAGAGGCUCUUUCAACCUUAAGUUCCAUCUCACAGGGUGAUCUUCGUCGGGCUAUAACGUACUUACAGGGAGCUGCUCGAUUAUUCGGAUCAUCCAUCUCUUCCAAGGACUUAAUCAGUGUUUCAGGGGUCAUCCCCCAGGAGGUUGUUCAGUCUCUUUUUGCAGCUUGCAAAGGUGGUGAUUUUGACGUGGUAAACAAGGAAGUCAAUAAUGUAAUUCUAGAGGGAUAUCCUGUUUCUCAGAUGCUUUCUCAGUUGUUUGAGGUAAUUGUUGGAGCUGAUGAUAUAUCAGAUGAGCAGAAAGCGAAAAUAUGCAAGAAGUUGGCUGAAACAGAUAAGUGUCUUGUAGAUGGAGCUGACGAGUAUUUGCAGCUGUUGGAUGUGGCCAGCAUUACGACGCGAGUACUUUGUAACAUGCCACUAGAACUUUCUUAUGAGAAUUAGGUACUAUGAUACAGCUUUUGUAGCAAAUCGUGAAGGGAAAAACCCGUCCAGAAUAUGUUAUCUGUAAAUUUUGUAAUCUUUACUCUUCAUGAGACACGGUUUUCCCUCUUUUUUGUUUGCCAUCUUUGAAGAUGGAUAUUUAAUCUUCGAUUUUGUCUAGGUGUAAGCUUGCAACUGGACUCCAUUGGCUCCUGAAUAUAUCAUUCGUCUGGGGGUUGACGCUAUUUCCAGACCAUGAUAAACUCUAUCCAUAUCAUUUCCUGUUCUUUUGAUCGCCUCAUUCGCCUGGGGUUUGAUUUUGCAUCAGGGGGAAGUCAGUACGGUGCAAUCUGGACAUGACUUCUAAAUUUCGCAUGACAAUAAAAUUGCUGGGAGUAUGAUUGUGUUCCUUUUGCAGAAAGUUCCUCUGGGUUAAUCUUGGAUUCACUGUUGGCUUCAAAUCGGUGUUGCCAGUGAAAAAUGUAGCCCAUCCCUGAUCCGAUAAUUAGAUUGUUAUCGUUCGAAUUUUCAGGCUUGCGUGCAAACAGCUCUAGUUUUUAGAGACUAAGGUGAUCCGGUCGGCUCUAAAUUUCUGCCAACAAUAAUGUGCUCAACAAAUCAAUGAACUUAGAUUCUUCAAGCUUUGUUUGGAUCGGUGUUCA